GCCUGACUGGAUCAGUUGGUAGAGCGUGUGACUCUUGAUCUCAGGGUCCUGAGUUUGAGCCCCAUGUUGGGCA
rnacentral:tRNA from 1 species